rnacentral:rRNA from 1 species
GACGAACCGUGCGAACGUUGUUCGGAAUCACUGGGCUUAAAGGGCGCGUAGGCGGGCCCGCAAGUCAGGGGUGAAAUCCCACGGCUCAACCGUGGAAGUGCCUUUGAUACUGCGGGUCUGGAGGGAGGUAGGGGCGUGCGGAACUUCCGGUGGAGCGGUGAAAUGCGUAGAUAUCGGGAGGAAGGCCGGUGGCGAAGGCGGCGCUCUGGAACAUUUCUGACGCUGAGGCUCGAAAGCGUGGGGAGCAAACAGG